GCUUGCUCCCGGAUGUUAGCGGCGGACGGKUKARUAACACGUGGGUAACCUGCCUGUAAGACUGGGAUAACUCCSGKAAACCGGAGCUAAUACCGGAUAGUUCCUUGAACCGCAUGGUUCAAGGAUGAAAGACGGUUUCGGCUGUCACUUCCCGAUGGACCCGCGGCGCAUUAGCURGUUGGUGGGGUAAGGGGGGMGCGG
rnacentral:rRNA from 1 species